GGCAAUAUGGCCGAGCGGUCUAAGGCGCCAGAAUCAGGUACAACCAAUCUGGUCCGAAAGGGCGUGGGUUCGAAUCCCACUGUUGUCA